AGGCUCACAUCCAGACCACGCUGCGCGACUCCUCCUGGCUCGGCAUCAGGGACGAGGAGCUGGAGGGCACCUGGAAACGGGCGAAUGGGUCCAUCCUGACCCGGGAACGCGGCUCGUGGCACUGGAGCGAGCCCAACGGCGGGCAGCGGGAGAACUGCGCGGUGGUGCGCGUGGACGGGAUGUGGUACGAUUACCCCUGCAGCAGCCAGAUGCCCUGGGUGUGCGAGGGGCAGCCCUGGGCGUGCGAGGGGAACCCCUGAAGCGUGCGGGGGGUCCCCUCCAGGUGUCCCCCCCCCCCCCCCCAAGACCCACGUCCCAUCAGCCCGCUUCCUUCCGCUUGGUACAUCCGACCCGCAGCGCCGUGGGAUGAGGUUCCGACCUCCCAGUGCCUCCGUUUUGGGGUCUGGAUGGAUGCCCCGAGUAAAAUUUGGGGUCCCCGCGGGGCAAUAAACGUGUGUGCAGAGUGA